rnacentral:rRNA from 1 species
GAACUGAAGAGUUUGAUCCUGGCUCAGAUUGAACGCUGGCGGCAUGCCUUACACAUGCAAGUCGAACGGCAGCGCG